AAAUCGGUUCUUCUCAGAACCACAAAUUCUGCUAGUCACAUCUCU
rfam:Agrilus planipennis Contig2552, whole genome shotgun sequence.